rnacentral:rRNA from 1 species
CCUACGGGAGGCAGCAGUGGGGGAUAUUGCACAAUGGGGGCAACCCUGAUGCAGCAACGCCGCGUGUGGGAAGAAGGUUUUCGGAUUGUAAACCACUGUUCUUGGUGAAGAUAAUGACGGUAUCCAAGGUGAAAGCUCCGGCUCAAUACGUGCCAGCAGCCGCGGUAAUACGGAGGGAGCAAACGUUGUCCGGAUUUACUGGGUGUAAAGGGUGCGUAGGCGGGCUGGCAAGUCAGACGUGAAAACCACAGGCUCAACCUGUGGACUGCGUUUGAAACUGUGGGGCUUGAGUGAAGGAGAGGUAGGCGGAAUUCCCUGUGUAGCGGUGAAAUGCGUAGAGAUCGGGAGGAACACCAGUGGCGAAGGCGGCCGACUGGGCGUUAACUGACGCUGAGGCACGAAAGCAUGGGUAGCAAACAGGAUUAGAUACCCCGGUAGUC